CACUGAUAGGAUCAUGGAACCAGCUUCAAGUAGUCCCAACGGAUUCCCUCCUUUACCCGAGGGUUCCCCGCCAUUACCCCCAGAUUCUCCUCCACCACCACCUUUGCCACCUUCACCACCUCCGCCCCCACCUCCAUCAUCUCCUUCGCCGCCUCCUCCUCCACCACCUCUACCAACACAACUACCUCCUCCCCUUGCGCCGCCUGCAUGCCCUCCUCCAGCUUUCGUGCCCCAACCACCAUUGCCCACUCAACCUAUGCUACCUCCUCAGUCAUCAAUGCAGUCUUCACCUCAGCUGGCAUAUCAAGC
rnacentral:lncRNA from 1 species